CUAGUAACUGCGAGUGAAGCGGGAAAAGCUCAAAUUUGAAAUCUGGCGGUUCCUUGGACCGUCCGAGUUGUAAUCUAGAGAAGUGUUACCUGUGCUGGACCGUGUACAAGUCUCCUGGAAUGGAGCAUCACAGAGGGUGAGAAUCCCGUCUUUGACACGGACUGCCUGUGCGAUAUGGUGCGCUCUCGAAGAGUCGAGUUGUUUGGGAAUGCAGCUCAAAAUGGGUGGUAAAUGCCAUCUAAAGCUAAAUAUUGGCGAGAGACCGAUAGCGAACAAGUACCGUGAGGGAAAGAUGAAAAGAACUUUGGAAAGAGAGUUAAACAGUACGUGAAAUUGCUGAAAGGGAAACGCUUGAAGUCAGUCGCGUCGGCUAGAAAUCAACCUUGCUCCUGCUUGGUGUACUUUCUGGUUGAYGGGUCAGCAUCAAUUUUGACCAUUGGAUAAAGUCAUUGGGAAUGUGGCAUCUUAGGAUGUGUUAUAGCCCAUUGUUGCAUACAGUGGUUGGGAUUGAGGAACUCAGCACGCCGCAAGGCCGGGUCUUUGACCACGUCCGUGCUUAGGAUGCUGGCAUAAUGGCUUUAAUCGACCCGUCUUGAAACACGGACCAAGGAGUCUAACAUGCCUGCGAGUGUUUGGGUGGAAAACCCAUGCGCGAAAUGAAAGUGAAAGUUGAGAACCCCUUCCUGGGGAGCAUUGACGCCCGGACCAGACCUUUUGCGACGGAUCCGCGGUAGAGCAUGUAUGUUGGGACCCGAAAGAUGGUGAACUAUGCCUGAAUAGGGUGAAGCCAGAGGAAACUCUGGUGGAGGCUCGUA
rnacentral:rRNA from 1 species